GGAAUCUUCCACAAUGGACGAAAGUCUGAUGGAGCAACGCCGCGUGAGUGAAGAAGGGUUUCGGCUCGUAAAACUCUGUUGUUAAAGAAGAACAUAUCUGAGAGUAACUGUUCAGGUAUUGACGGUAUUUAACCAGAAAGCCACGGCUAACUACGUGCCAGCAG
rnacentral:rRNA from 1 species